rnacentral:rRNA from 1 species
UACGUAGGGAGCAAGCGUUGUCCGGAAUCAUUGGGCGUAAAGGGCGUGUAGGCGGGAAGGAAAGUCAGAUGUGAAAUCCCUGGGCUCAACCCAGGAACUGCAUUUGAAACUCCCUUUCUUGAGUGUCGGAGGGGAAAGUGGAAUUCCUGGUGUAGAGGUGAAAUUCGUAGAUAUCAGGAGGAACACCGGUGGCGAAGGCGGGUCUCUGGGCCAUUACUGACGCUGAGGAGCGAAAGCGUGGGUAGCGAACAGG